UGACAGUGACAAAAAGGAAGCAGCCUUCUCUAGCCCACCCAAGUUUCCAUCAAAGGAGCAAGCCUAUGUCAGUAAGAAGAAAGCUGGCUAACCCUCCCACCCCUUGUUUAACUCCUCCAGCCCAUCCCACAUCAUUGUAGAGUGAAGAGACUGCGGUUAAUAUUCAGAAAGAGGCGCAGAGAACUGAAGGCUUUCCUGACUUGACACCGAAUAAUAACGAAGGCCUGUGUGCUUUGCAGCAGCCUCCACGUCAUCCUCUUCCAGGGCUCCGUCAGAGGACUAACAAUAUGCCACAAGAUGAUUGGCAGCAAGACACACCCAGUGAUGAAGGGAUGUGCUCUCCUUAAAUCACAGCCUAUUCAUCAGGUACUCCUGAGUGCUGUGUUAAGAAAUCCUGCCUACAAAGUUCCACUGAGGCUGAUAUAAAGAUGACUGUGAGAAACUGGCUGCGGCUGUCUGAGCAGAGACAGGAAUGGGGGCAGCAAAGGCGGGACAAGCAAGCAUCUUAAGUGAAAUAAUUGAUUGGACUGAUUCUGGAGUAUGACUUAUUCUGGAGGGAAUUUCUUAUUUUUGUUGCAGUUUGCUAUGGGACGGUUUCAAGGACAGGGAUUAGACUAGUUCUAGACUAAAAUAAAUGUAAGAGCUGUCCAAACUGAAAACAACUUGCACUGACAUAUCAUAAAAUACAUCAGUGUCUUUUGUGAUGCUUCAAAAUGCACACAAGUAAUGUUUUUAUUAAGACAUGUUAUUAAAACUAGUUAUAUUUCAGAAUUAAACUAAGGCCUAGUCCCGGUUUAAGAUAAUCCCUGUCCGGGAAACCACCCCAAAGUGUAAUUUGUGGAGUGUUAAAAUAAAUGAAACUGCCUUUGCAAAAACAAAGUAAAAAAAAAAUUCCAGAUG